UAAAUGUGGAGCCAGAAACCACAACGAUAAAAACGGGGCGAAACCGAAAGGCCUUAAGAGUAGGAAAAUA
rfam:Desulfobacterales bacterium SG8_35_2 WOR_8-12_596, whole genome shotgun sequence.